rnacentral:rRNA from 1 species
GAUGAACGCUAGCGGCAUGCCUAACACAUGCAAGUCGAGGGGGAAGUUACUUUCGGGUGACUGAGACCGGCUUACGGGUGCGUAACGCGGAUACAAUCUGCCUUUCACUGGGGGAUAGCCCGAAGAAAUUUGGAUUAAUACCCCAUAGUCUAUAGGGACGUCAUCGUUUUUUUGUUAAAGCUUAGGUGGUGAAAGAUGAGUAUGCGUUCUAUUAGCGAGUUGGGGAGGUAACGGCUCCCCAAGGAGAUGAGAGAAAGGGGUUCUGAGAGGGAUGUCCCCCAGACUGGGACUGAGAUAAGGACCAGACUCCUAGGGGCGGCAGCAGAGAGGAAGAUUGGGCAAUGGUCGGAAGACUGAUCCAGCCAUGCCGCGUGCAGGAGGAUGGUGUUAUGGAUUGUAAUCUGCUUUUGCAAGAGAAGAAUAAGCGAUCCGCGUAGUUUGAUGACGGUACCUGACGAAUAAGCAUCGGCUAACUACGUG